CACACAUCUACGCUGCAGGGGAAGUCUGGCUGAGAGCAGACACAGACGUUUUUUGCUAUCUCUCAAUCUGCAGGACCAGAUCUGAGCCUGGCUUGUAGGGUGAUGGCAAUGUUCAUUGCUAAAGUAAAAAACAGAAGAAAAAAAAGGAGAGAGAAAACAAGGAGAAACUUCCUCCAGUUUUAUGCUUCUGUUGGCUUCUGUAAACUGUGGAUCAGUGCCACUGGUAAAUGGGAUAUGCCAGCAAGGUGGAUGGACAUCCAUUUCAGGAAGGAAGAUGGAAGACACAUCUGGAAACUGUAGGUUUUGCAAUGCUGAAUGUCUUUAAAGCUAGUGUAGGCUGCAGGAGAAUCUCACGCACAAUGCAAUCGAGGUGCUUCACAUCCCUGGUUUUCUCUGCUGGCCAUGUUCUUCUUGUGGGCUGUGCAACAGAUUGUUCCCUGCUGGAGGAAUAACUGGGAUAUCCAUAUGGGUGUUCUGCAACAAUUAAGCACAAGGAGAGAUGACUUUCAUCAAGAGAGGUAGCCAAACUAGUCAAGGAGGUACUGUCUCACCCUGGCUAUUCAAAGGGAAGAAGAAUAAUCUUGACUUUCUGUAGAAGUUUAAAUGAAAACCAGACAUUCCCACAGGAUGGAGAGGCUGCUUUUUAAUGAAGGAAUGACACAAAUCCUUUUGCUAACCACAGCACAAGAUUUUCUGUCUUGUUAUCUUCAUGGAAUAUUAAAGCGAUUUAAUACAUUGAAACAAUGUUGCAAAGGUUACGAUUGCAAUGUCAUCAAAUCUAAUUAUGCCCUACCUAUCUUUCUUCUGACAAAGUCUAAAGUUGCUUACACCUCAAUAGCUCUAGUUCCUAGCCACCAACCUCCUCCUACCAUCCAUGGAGAUAAAAGCAUGUCAUCUCACAGCACUUUAUUCUAUUCUUAGAGG
rnacentral:lncRNA from 1 species